GAUGAACGCUAGCGGCAGGCUUAACACAUGCAAGUCGAGGGGUAGAAGUUACUUGUAACUUUGAGACCGGCGCACGGGUGCGUAACGCGUAUGCAAUCUACCUUUUACAGAGGGAUAGCCCAGAGAAAUUUGGAUUAAUACCUCAUAGUAUCUUUGCCUGGCAUCAGGUGAUUAUUAAAGUUCCAACGGUAAAAGAUGAGCAUGCGUCCUAUUAGCUAGAUGGUAAGGUAACGGCUUACCAUGGCAACGAUAGGUAGGGGUCCUGAGAGGGAGAUCCCCCACACUGGUACUGAGACACGGACCAGACUCCUACGGGAGGCAGCAGUGAGGAAUAUUGGACAAUGGGCGCAAGCCUGAUCCAGCCAUGCCGCGUGCAGGAAGAAGCAUCUAUGGUGUGUAAACUGCUUUUGUACGGGAAGAAACACUCCUACGUGUAGGAGCUUGACGGUACCGUAAGAAUAAGGAUCGGCUAACUCCGUGCCAGCCGCCGCGGUAACAC
rnacentral:rRNA from 1 species